CGGGGCGUGGGCAGGAGGCUGGUGAGGGCUGUGCGGUGGGGGGAAGAGCAAGACGUGGGAGGGCACCUGUGGCUGGGAAUGUCCGAGGGAUUCCCGGUAAGGAGGACGGAAGGCUGGACUUUCAACUAGGACGCUUUUCUGAGUGGGCAGGGGGGAGUGUUAGGAAAAUGGAGGCCUGUUGCGUGAGGGGAGCUGCUUGGCGUGGGAGGCAGGUCAGUUUCAAGUUGAUGGUGGAGUUAGCUGGAUGAAAAUGUCGAAGAGAAGCCAUGGAACUUAAAAGGUAUGGAAAAGCCGUUGGACCCUUUCUCGAUUACUGGGAAAGUGAGGGAAUUAGGAGUUUUGUUGGAUGUGGGAGUUACUUGAACUUUUUCAGAGACCCCUUACUGCGUCAUUCCUUCACACUUGCCCCCCCCCCCCCCGUUUUCUAUGACUGCUUUGGUGAGUGCUGUCUCUAGAUUGGCCCAAGUUUGGGAAAUAAUGAGAAGUUUUGUGAGAGCCGGAGGAAUGUGGGAAAAUCGCAUUAAAACAGCUGGAGAAGAUGGACUGGAGUCUGCAGGUCCUCCUGUGCUCCUUUGACUUCUGGAACAGCUGGAUUAAGAAAAAAUUCUUUUUGUAAAUAAACCUGAAAACAUUAUACUUAUUGUAUGCGAUACGCAGUGUUGCCUUUUCUUGUGUAUCUGCAUGUUCGCUUAUUUUUAAAAAUUUAUUUUCAUUUUUUUUAAAAGGCAGAGAGAGAGAUAUAUCUUCCGCUGGUUCAUUCUCCAAAUGCUCACAACAACCAGGGCUGGGCCCUAACCAAACCAGUACCCAGAACCCAAUGCAUGUCUCCUGUAUGGGUGGCAGAGGCCCAAGUACUUGAGUCAUUAUCAUUGCCUCCUAGGUUGUGCAUUAGCAGGAAUCUGGAUCAGAAGCCAGUGGAAGAGCUAGAACUUGAACCAGGCUCUCAAGAUGAGGGAUAUGAGCAUCCCAAGCAGCAUUUUAAAUACUGCAGUACUGCACCAAUUGCCUGCUUCAGUAAAUUUAAUAGAAUUUUUUCUUUUAAAGAUAGGUUUUUGAAUUGUAUAGCAUGUUUGAUUCUAGUGCAGAAAAGGUUAAGGGUUUUAUUUGUGAUUAGGGGAGAGUGCUUUUCUGUUGGGAUGGUGACAGGGGAAUUAGGAAAUUGGCAAAAAUAAGUAGUGGCUUAUGAUCUCCUGAGUUGUUAAAGACUCGAGGCUAGCCUUGUAGAAAUCAAGGGAGGAAAGCCAGAAAGUCAGGUUCAUGUGUUUUACCCAUCCUGAAACCGGUUUUUUGUUCUUGGAUGUUUCACUGAAAUCCUAAAGACAUGAUUUUCUCUCUCUCUCUCUCUCUCUCUUUUUUUUUAAUUUUUUUUGAGAGACAGAGUGGACAGUGAGACAGACAGAAAGGUCUUCCUUUGCUGUUGGUUCACCCUCCAAUGGCUGCCGCAGCCAGUGCACCGCGCUGAUCCGAUGGCAGGAGCCAGGUGCUUCUCUUGGUCUCCCAAGCACUUGGGCCAUCCUCCACUGCACUCCCGGGCCACAGCAGAGAGCUGGCCUGGAAGAGGGGCAACCGGGACAGAAUCUGUUGCCCCGACUGGGACUAGAACCCGGUGUGCCAGCGCUGCAGGCGGAAGAUUAGCCUAUUGAGCCAUGGCGCCGGCCAUGAUUUUCUCUUGAUGUAGAAAGUGGAUGUGAAAUGACUGUCAUAGUUCAGGGACAGAUUGACAGUUUUUGAUAAGGCAUUCAUAACCUUUGAGUUCAGAAAAUUGGGGGACAUUCAAAUUAAGGAAUUAUUUUGUCCGUAAUAAACCCUUAUCUAAAUUGUUAAAGCAUUGGGCUGCAGCUGGUCUUCUGUACAGCUGACAAGUGAACUGCAGAGGAUAGAGCAAGCCAUAAGUUCUAAGAGAUGUUUAACAUUUUUUCCAAUGGAAUUGUUACUGUGUUUGAAUUUGGAUGAGACUAUUAUAAAUGAAAUCAGCUUACAGUAACCAUAAUCAUGUUCUUUUUUUUUUUUUUUUUGAGAGGCAGAGUGGACAGUGAGAGAGAGAGACAGAGAAAGGUCUUCCUUCUGUUGGUUUACCCCACAAUGGCCGCUGCGGCCGGCGCGCUGCACUGAUCAGGAGCCAGGUGCUUUUCCUGGUCUCCCAUGCGGGUGCAGGGCCCAAGGACUUGGGCCAUCCUCCACUGCAUUCCUGGGCUACAGCAGAGAGCUGGCCUGGAAGAGGGGCAACCAGGACAGAAUCCGGCAUCCAAACUGGGACUAGAACCCGAUGUGCCGUCGCUGCAAGCGGAGGAUUAGCCUAUUGAGCCGUGGCACCGGCCAAUCAUGUUCAUUCUUUAAAAAAAGAUUUAUUUAUUUGAAAGUCAGAGUUACAGAGAUAGAGGGAGAGAGAGAUCUUCGGUUUGCUGGUUCAUUCUUCAGUUGACUUCAGUCACCAGGCUGAGCCAGGCCAAAGCCAGGAGCUUCAUUGAGAUCUCCUAUGUUAGUGACAGGAAUCCACAAACACUUGGCCAUCUUCUGCUUUUCCUAGGCCAUUAGCAGGGAGCUGGAUGGGAAGUGGAGCAGCCAGGACACGAACCAGCACCUAUAUGUGAUGCCAGUGUCAUGGGCAGUGGCUUUACCCACUACCCACAAUGUUGGCCCCCAUAUGUUCAUUUUUAUAAAAAUAUUUAAUUCAAAGGCAGAUGGCUGCAACAGCCAUGGCUGGGGCAGAGCCAGGAGCCUGGAACACCAUCUGAUCUCCCACAUGGGUGGCAGGGGCCCAGAAACGUGUGCCUUCCCUGGCACACCAACGUGGAGCUGAAUUGGAAGCAAAACAGCUGGGACUUGAUCCUGCACUCCAGUAUGGGAUGCUGGCACUGUAAGCUUGUGGCUUAACUCCUUGUGCAGUCACGCUGUGUUCAUGCUUGCACUUUGAUUGUUAUAAUAUAAACAUGGUGCAGUUUGCUGUGUGAUCUCAGUUGCUUAGUGUAUAAAGGAAAUUUAUUCCUUUGUGCUCUCCAUCCUUAUAGUUGAACAUGGCACCUCUUAAUAAAAUCAGCCUUGAUGAGGUGCUGUUAACAGUGCCACUGUCUGUCAAACCAGUUUUCAGAUAUUCUUUAUCUCUAGUUUAACUUCCUGUGGUCCAUCAAGAGCUUGAAAUUCAUCUGCUGAAUCCCCUUUUACUAUAAAGGCAAAAGUUUGUUUUGGAGAGCUGACUUGAAGUUAGUAGGAGGGUUAGAAAGGAAAGUUAGGAUGCUCCCCUGAAAUAAGAGCCAGGUGAUAAAAUCAUGUUAGUCCCCCAAGGAAAAACACUUGAAACCUUAGUUGAUCAGGAACUGUAGCUCCCUCUGCCUCAGACCAGAAUGUUUGAAAUAGUUACCACUCACCUAUAUGAUUUUUAUCAGGAGCACAGAUGAUUUAGAAUAACUACAGUUCUUUUCCUGAAUCCUCUCCCCCCAUCUCCCCAACCCCAGAAGGCACAAGAUUGAAGCGUUUUUGCUUGAGGUGCGUAGUGUUAGCCUCAUCAGUCUAUUGUGGUGACCCCACUAGAAAACUCUCCUGGGCCGGCGCCGCGGCUCACUAGGCUAAUCCUCCACCUUGCGGCGCCAGCACACCGGGUUCUAGUCCUGGUUGGGGUGCCGGACUCUGUCCCGGUUGCCCCUCUUCCAGGCCAGCUCUCUGCUGUGGCCCGGGAGUGCAGUGGAGGAUGGCCCAAGUGCUUGGGCCCUGCACCCCAUGGGAGACCAGGAGAAGUACCUGGCUCCUGCCAUUGGAUCAGCGCGGCGGCCAUUGGAGGGUGAACCAACAGCAAAGAAAGACCUUUCUCUCUGUCUCUCUCUCUAGCUGUCCACUCUGCCUGUCAAAAAAAAAAAAAAAAAAAAAGAAAAA